rfam:Devosia sp. LC5 contig35, whole genome shotgun sequence.
GGCAUCACGCCGCAAGCGAAAGGCUGGAAAAGGGAACACGGUGCGACGUACCCAUCAGGGCGCAAAACCGUGGCUGCCCCCGCAACUGUAAGCGGUGCAUUCCCCUCUCAUGCCACUGGCGAAUAGCCGGGAAGGCGAGGGGAGUGGCUAUCACCGCGAGCCAGGAGACCUGCC